GAAGGCGAUAAGGUUAAUAACCUUGUCGAUUGACGUUACCCGCAGAAGAAGCACCGGCUAACUCCGUGCCAGCAGCCGCGGUAAUACGGAGGGUGCAAGCGUUAAUCGGAAUUACUGGGCGUAAAGCGCACGCAGGCGGUCUGUCAAGUCGGAUGUGAAAUCCCCGGGCUCAACCUGGGAACUGCAUUCGAAACUGGCAGGCUAGAGUCUUGUAGAGGGGGGUAGAAUUCCGGGUGUAGCGGUGAAAUGCGUAGAGAUCUGGAGGAAUACCGGUGGCGAAGGGGGCCCCCUGGACAAAGACUGACGCUCA
rnacentral:rRNA from 1 species